rnacentral:rRNA from 1 species
GGGAACUAGGCAAAUUGACACCGUAACUUCGGGAUAAGGUGUGCCUCCGAGGUGGAGCAGAACAUGCCGAGCCAGAAGAGGUCGCAGAGAAUAGGGGGUAGCGACUGUUUACCAAAAACACAGGACUGUGCGAAGUCACGAAGACGACGUAUACGGUCUGACGCCUGCCCGGUGCUGGAAGGUUAAGAGGAGAGGUUAGACGCAAGUCGAAGCUUUGAAUCGAAGCCCCAGUAAACGGCGGCCUUAACGAUAACGGUCCUAAGGUAGCGAAAUUCCUUGUCGGGUAAGUUCCGACCUGCACGAAUGGCGUAACGACUUCCCCGCUGUCUCAACCAUGGACUCAGUGAAAUUGAAUUCUCGGUGAAGAUGCCGAGUACCCGCGGCAAGACGGAAAGACCCCGUGAACCUUUACUAUAACUUGACAGUGGUAUUCGGGUGGAUCUGUGUAGGAUAGGUGGGAGACUUCGAAGCGGGUGCGCCAGCAUCCGUGGAGUCAUCGUUGAAAUACCACCCUGGUCCUCCUGGAUGCCUAACGUGGGCGGCUGAAGCGUCGUCACGGACACUGUCUGGUGGGUAGUUUGACUGGGGCGGUCGCCUCCCAAAAAGUAACGGAGGCGCACAAAGGUUCCCUCAGCCUGAUUGGAAACCAGGCGAAGAGUGCAAAGGCAGAAGGGAGCUUGACUGCGAGACCUACAAGUCGAGCAGGUGCGAAAGCAGGUCUUAGUGAUCCGGUGGUUCUGCGUGGAAGGGCCAUCGCUUAACGGAUAAAAGGUACUCCGGGGAUAACAGGCUUAUCUCCCCCAAGAGUUCACAUCGACGGGGAGGUUUGGCACCUCGAUGUCGGCUCAUCGCAUCCUGGGGCUGGAGCAGGUCCCAAGGGUUUGGCUGUUCGCCAAUUAAAGCGGUACGCGAGCUGGGUUCAGAACGUCGUGAGACAGUUCGGUCCCUAUCUGCCGUGGGCGCAGGAGUUUUGAGAGGAGCUGUCCCUAGUACGAGAGGACCGGGAUGGACUGACCUCUGGUGCACCAGUUGUCACGCCAGUGGCAUAGCUGGGUAGCUAAGUCGGGACGGGAUAACCGCUGAAAGCAUCUAAGCGGGAAGCCCACCUCAAGAUAAGAACUCCCAGGGGUAACCCUCUGAAGGCCCGUCGUAGACUACGACGUUGAUAGGCUGGGUGUGUAAGCGUCGGAAAAGGCGUUGAGCUAACCAGUACUAAUAGGCCGUGUGGCUUGACUCA